GGGGCUUUAGCUCAGUGGUAGAGCGCUUGCCUAGCAAACGCAAGGCCCUGGGUUCGGUCCCCAGCUCCG
rnacentral:tRNA from 1 species